UUUUCAAGCAUCAUACACCAGGGGAAGUCUUUGAUUUAGGUAAACGCAAUACUAAGAAAUCCUUACUUUAGUUAUGAAGCAGGGUGUCUUGCCUGGUAGAGGUCAAAUAACGUCCUGGCUUCUAGCUUGAGAGCACUUUAAGAUUUUUAUUUAUUUAUUUAUUCAUUAGAGACACAGAGAGAGGCAGAGACACAGGAAGAGGGAGAGGCAGGCUCCCUGCAGGGACUCGAACCCAGGACUCCAGGAUCAUGACCAGAGCCAAAGGCAGGUGCUCAACCACUUAGCCAAUCAGGCGCCCCCUGAGAGCACUUUAAAGUGACCAACUGAGAGGCUGAUUGCUUCUAAAACCCAUUAAUGUUAUCUUAGGUAAAGUUAAAUUUCCAGAUCCAGUUGGGGAAAUAAGGUAAAGGAAAACAGAAAAAGCAGCAUGUCAAACUGGAAAACUGCUUUUCCCAGUGCCAAGGUCCCAAUAAUGAACAAAGAGCUUAAAACAAGAAGACACAGGCAAAUAUUAAAGUUACUCACCACCCCCACAACACCAACAUAUAGGAACAGCUGGGAAAAAGCAAAAUGUCUAGGACUUUACUGUAAAAAAAAUAACUGUUAUGUUCUGAAUACUUUACUCUUCGUAUUGGACUCAGGGUCUCCUGAAGGAGGAAGGAGAUUAGAUUAUAGAUUCUAAGACAAGGCAAAUAAUAGGUAAGCCAAAUUGGAUCAGGUUAAAGCUACUUGUUGCUGCCUACUGACCCUAAGGUCUCUUUCUAUUCUCUGGUAGACCAUCUGAAAUUUCCACAAUUCCACAAUUUUUUUUUUUUAAAUAAGAACAUUGAUACUUUUCUUAGCAUGCAAAUAUGCAUAGGGAACAGUGUCACAGGAAGACAUAAAGAGUAGAAUGCAGAAGCUGUAAUAAAUUAAAUAAAUAAUCUCACUCCAAAACUCACUUUAGACACAGAAAAACUGAAAAUCAAAGAGUAAAAUGGGAUUGUCCAACAUGGAAAGCUUCCGACAUUAGGGCUACUGAAAUUGAUGUAUUACCAAGUAAACAACAAAAAAAAAUAUUGUGUUAGGCAAGGCAAGAUCAUCGUUGUUCUCUUUUAAUCCUCAGCAUGAUUCUGCAAUUAGGGUUUUGUGUCUUCAUAUUACAAAUGAGAGGUUCAGGAAUUUUAAUCAGUUUACUUCAGAUUGUACAGUUAGUGGGUAACAGGAGAUCCAGCAUUCAUAUUCUAGCUUAAGUAAAAGCCAAGCCAAGAGUAUAGAUCUAAUUAAUCAAGGUUUUGCAGAGCUGGCAAUAAGCACAGCUUAGGUCAUAUCCUUUCCAAAUUUUUAAAUGGCGACCUAUAUUAGUUAAAUAUAAGCAAUAUUUUAUCAUCCAAUAUGAAACAUAUUAUUCCUGUUCCUAAAGAGAAUUUUUUUCUCUUCUAAGAGGGCUUCCUUCCUUCCUUUGGAUUGGGGUUCCAUCUGUGUCUAGCAAGAGUUCUGGCCACUAUAAUAAAAUCUACUUUUGCAUUGACUCAAUUUGCUAUGCACUGCAUGGAAAAAUGUUAAAAGUCUUACCUCUGUCUCAGGUAUCUUAAUAUCCAUCCUUCUGCCCUCCUAAUUCAUGAACCAGAGGGAAGUCUGUCAAAAAUUUUGAGGCUGUCAAGUAUAAUUUUCUAUUUCUAUCUUCUAUAGAGCUUUUAAUUUCUGCCCCCACUGCCCUGAUGCUUAACAUAAUCUACACUUUUCAGACUGACUCACCUGCCCACGACUGAAGCUCAGCCAGUUGUGGUAUAAAAUGGAUCAGGUGCUACAUCAUAGCCAAAUAACAACAUAGAUAUCCACAGGUUGACAAGGGCAAGGAGAAACUAGCAUUUUUGAGGAAACUAUGUUGUGUACUCUAUAUAUUAAAUUUAGCUUGUUCAUUUCUCAUAAGCAACACUAACAGGAGGAUCAUUUCUACUGGGCUCUUACUAUGUACCAAACACUAUUAUAAAUGCCAAACAUAAACUGACUUGUUUAAUUUUAAAUAUUACUAAAAGCUUUAACAACAAUAACAGUUAGGGCAGCAAUCUUCAAAACUACCCAAAUUCCAAAGUCAUUUAGUCUGUAGUAGCAGCAUAUAACAUUUUUCCCUCUUGAACUUUGUUUCUAAGUGAAAGCAAAUGUCAAAAUCCUAUUUAACUCUAGUUUAGGUUUUAUAUUACCUGGAAUUAAUGUUAGUCUGGAUUAUCUUCUAAAAGACAAAAGGCAGGCAGCCUGGGUGGCUCAGUUCUUUGAGUAUCUGACUGUUGACAUUGGCUCAGGUCAUGAUCUCAGGGUGGUGAGUUCGAGCCCAGUAUAGGGUUCUGAGCACUAGGUGUGGAGUCUGCUUAAGAUUCUCUUCCUCUCCCUCUACCCCUCCCUGCUAAUCUGUGUGUGUGCUCCUCUCUCUCAAAAAAACAAAAACAAAAACUAAAAACUAAAAUAAAAGAUAAAAUAAAAUAGAAUAAAAUACAAAAGGCAAGAGUUGUUAGUUGGAGUCAUAAGAUAUCACAGAAAGUGAAUAAUCCAAGGAUGUUUAAUGCUAUUUAUACCAACACUCCCAUUCCUGCUUUGCAGACAGGGAGGCUGAAACCUCCAGAAGAAAAGAAAAGUACUUCUGUCUCAGGCUACGUUGCUAGUUAAUAGCAAAGUCAGUGUUUAAAUUCCUCUUGCUUCCUAUUCCCACAGUCUUUCCCCAAUAAUGCAAGUUAGUCUCCUAGGAUGUGGAAAUAUUGUCUUUGUCAAUUACAGAAAAUGGUCAAACAAAAAUGAAACAAACCCAAGCAUGUAAAAUCUAUGGUUUAAAGAGAUCCUAUUUUACUAUGCAAUGAACUAUGCAAUGAUAGCAUCUUGAGUAACAGGAUUUGACCUAUAGCCAAAUGUCAAAAUUCUAUAUUUUAGAAGUCCCUUAAAUAUCUGUUCCUUGCUUACCUCUUACCCUUAUGCUACUGUGGCUUUUCACUUCAAAAUAUAUAUUCUGGGGUAGCCCGGGUGACUCAGCGGUUUAGUGCCACCUUCAACCCAGGCGUGAUCCUGGAGACCCGGGAAUGAGUCUCACGUCGGGCUCCCUGCAUGGGGCCUGCUUCUCCCUCUGCCUGUGUCUCUGCCUCUGUGUGCAUGUGUGUGUCUCAUGGAUAAAUAAAUAAAAUCAUAUAUAUAUAUAUAUAUAUAUAUAUAUGAUUAUUAUAUAAUGAUUCUGAGACCAGAAUAUAUAUAUAUAUAUAUUCUGGUCUCAAAAUCAUUCAACUCAACCUGCAGUUUUCCUCCUUAUAUAUUACUUUCCCACUUCAUACACACACUGAAUCCAGAAACUGCAAUUUAAUAUGCAAGUGACCUGUACUGUCUUAUUGAAAUAUAUACCUAUAUUUAUAAUUUUUAUAAAUUAUGAGUUAUGUAUAACUCGUAUACACAUAUAUUUACAUUCUUAUAAAGAUAUACAAAUACAUGUGUAAGUAUUCCAGUUAUAUAUGUGUGUGUGUGUGUGUGUGUGUGUAUUUUUUCCAGGUAUCCUAUGUAUCUUUCAUAAGACCUGUUUUAGAGCAGUAAAUGUUCAUUUAGUGAACAGAUGAAUUUGGCAUUAUGACAUACAAUAUUUCAUUCAACUACAAUUCCCUAUCCUAUCAUGUAGCAUCUUGUCCUACAUAGAAUUCCCUUCUUCCUGAUGGAUAUGGGAAAGAAUCCCCAAAGUUAGAGAUAUACACAUAAUGCAAAAGAAUCUCCAUAUUCUUUCUUUUUCUUGCUAUCCUAAACUAUACUAAAGUAUGAGGGAUUAUAUGUAGCAGUCUCCUGAAGUAAAUGCAGCGUUCUGAGAAAGCUCUACUUCAUGGGAGCACUUAAGUAUACACACACACACACACACACACACACACACACACAGGAAGACUGCAGUUCUUGCCACUAAAAUUCAAAGUGCUAUACACAUUGAAGAGUGAAACCCAGGAAGAUUCAGAGAGAAUCUAAUCUAGCACAGUGCGAGCAAUAGACAAUGUUAUUUCCAACAAAUUAAUUUAAUUGGUUCUACAAUAGCGAGAGGAAGUAGCUGUGUGCAUUUAGAUGUUCCCUUGGGAGGAGAGCUGAAAGUGGCACAGAGAAUACACAGGAAAUCUACUGUAGAUCAAAUAUUCUUACAGAACUCAGGCCUUACUGUGUUACCUAAUUGCAAUACAAUUUCACAUCCAGAUGACUUAUGCUGUUCUAUUACUUCCUUAAAAAAUAGUUGCAAAAUAUAUUUGAUUAAAUACACCCUCUGACAGUAUGUUAAGAUAAUUCAUGUUAAUAGGGGACAAUACCAGCUAACUAAUGUGACCAAAAAAAUCUUAUGUACAUAAUUUGGAACUACAAAAUAAAUCUACUUAAACUGUCGCAAUUUUUUGCAAUUUAAAGAAUAUGAAAGAGCUUGAGAGCUUAUGUUAUCAUGAAAGCUCUUGAUUGCAGUAAGAACUAUGGUUUUCUUUUUACUUAUCAGCAUUUUUAAAAUAUUUUCUACAACAAAUUCAAGUUACUUUUGGAAUAAGAAAAGCACUUAUUAUUUUUAAAUGUUGUAAGUGCUUUGAAAGAAGAAAGUUUAAGGUACACUAGUUAAGCCAAAAGGAGACAAUUGUCAGAUGCAAUCAGUAAAGGUUUAGAAUGUAUUGCAGCUAGAAUUCCAGAUUGAGGAAGUACUAUCCCAAGUUGGAGCAACAGUAUUAGCAAACCUCCAAUGUUGUAUAUGUGAAUGAGUGACUUAAUGAGCAAAGCCGCACAUAGUAAUUGACUAUUUUAGCAAAAGCAAAUAAUGUAGGCAUAAUUGAAAAAAUUAUGUAAAAAUACUUCAUAAAACUGAAUAUCUUUUAAAGUAGGCAUUCUGCUUUCUACUUUCAUAUAUGCUAAUGAAGCUGAAGGAACCUGAGAGGGAAGUAAUAUUUUGUCUAUCUUACAGAUAAAGAAAGAAAUAAUAUAGAUGUUACAGUGAUUUAUUCUCUCAUUUAUUCAAAGUUUUUUUACUGGAAACCUACACUGUGCCAGGCAAUGUUCUGAGUGCUGGAGAAUCAGAAAGAAACCAAACCCAGAGACCCUGACUUCAUGGGAGAGCUCCUAUCUAGUGGAUGAAGGUUUCAAGGGUAGAUCUAAGGUUGUACGUUUCUGCUUGCCCAGGAUCACACUUAGCCAACAAAGGAAAAGGCCCAUUUGAUGAAACCUAACAAACAAUGGGAAUAGAGAAGUAGAUGAGAUGAGAGAGGCAGAUUGGGACUUUAUGGCUUAUGUUAAUAAUUGGAAAUUUAUCUUUGAGGAGAGACAUUAAAAGCUUUUAAGGGAGGUUUUAGGUAGUUGAUGAUGGGAUAGGAUUAGUGUUUUUAAGCAGUAUUGUUUGUGUUGUGGUCUGGAGAGUGGACUAGAAAAGGGCAAGGACUGAUGCUGAGAAAACGGUGAAGAAGCUUUGCCGUGGCUGAGAAAAGACAAGUGGCUUAGACAAAAGUAAGAGCAACAGAGAAGGAAAAAGUGAACAGGUGUGACUUCUAAUUUCUAUAGCCAGCAAAUGAUAGAUGUAAUGUUGGAAGUAAAAUUUUCUGACUACAUAUUUGGUGCUCUACCCAAUUGCUAUUAAAUAUGUCCAGACCAGCAGCAGCAGCAUCUGAGAAUGUGUUAGAAAUGCAGAAACUCAGGCUUCAUCCGAGACCUACUAAGUCAGAAUCUGUACUCUAAAAAGAUUUUUAGGGUUAAGUGCACAGGGUUAAGUGCCCAACUCUUGUUUUCAGCUCAGGUUAUAACCUCAGGGUCCUAGGAGAGAGAGUCUCGUAUGGGGCUAUUGCUCAGCAGCAUGUCUCCUUGAGAUUCUCUCUCUAACCUCUUCCCUUUGCUCCCUCCCAAAUAAAUAAAUCUUUAAAUGAUUCCCAGGUGUUUCACAUUCACAUUAAAGUAGUCUGCCCUAAAACAGCUACCUUGUAUCUUACAAAUUUAGAUAAUGUCUGCUUUUGAGUGGCAAAAUUUAUGAAACAAAUUCAAUUUCUCUUCCAAAGACAGUCUAGAUUUUUUAUUAGAACCUGCAUAUUAAUAUAAAGUGUUGCAGAAAUAUAUAGAUAUUGAAUUUAUUGAUAAUCAUAUAACUUAAAAUUCACAAAAAGAUUUAAGUGAAUGACUAUAAUCUCUAUCAAAUUAAAAGUUUCUGGGUUAGAGUUAUUUUUCUUUCAGUAACCGAGAUGCAUUUACAAGAGACAGAAAUAGUUUAUUAAACAAUUUUACUAAAUCUAAAAAUUUCUUUAUGAAAUUAGCAAAGCUGACAUUUACUGUUAGAUUAAUAAUGUUGGGGGAGUAAAGCUUGGGGAUGGAAGAUAUUCUCUAUACCUUUAAACAUUGGCAACUUAAAGUUUACAUCAAUACAAUUUUUUGUUUUAUGAAAAGGAAUAAAAUUGUAAACAAUCUCCAACUUUCAUAGUUUGGUAAGUGUUUACAAGCUAAACAAAAAACUCACAGAUUCUAAUAGGUAUUCCGUUCCCAAUAUGCUAAAAACAAUUACAAAAUCCCUAAUGACAGCUCAUCUUUUAGGCACAUUGUUUAAUGGUAUAUUUCUAGCAUUGUACACUUCAGUUUUAUCCUUUUCCUUCAUAAUUGAACACACAGUUGAUUGGUCUUAAGGCCAGUGAAUGCCUGAUAGAGGCUAAAGUUGAGUCAAGCCUAAUGAUCUCCAUCUUGCCUUAAUUAUAUUGAGUUUAUGAAAUCUAUGCUUCUCCUCACAAGCCUCAGCAAUUUCAGCUUUAUCUGUUCCAUCCAUUUGUGUAAAUUAAUAAAGGCAAAGUGAAUAAAAUAUUAAAAUAUUUCCACAAAUGAAUAUUUCCCUACAAGCAAAGAUGGUGAUGCAUAUAAACUGAACUGUUGGUUUGGAGGGGGGAGCCAUUGUUGGAUGAAUUGAAGUGCCCUUCCUCAACUGACUUAGUUUGAAGUUGGUACAGAAAAAUCGUUUAGAGGGUCUUGAUGUACAAUGCAUGAAAAUGCAGGAUGUACAACAUUUGAUUGAAAAAUCUCAGUAACUAUUAAAUUACCUGCCAAUAGCUUAAUUUAUUUCAACAAAUUAGUAUUGAGGGUCUAUUUUCUAGCUAAUUGGCAUUGAGGCACUAUGUUGAGUAAUAUGAUAUACCCUGGUCCUCAAUAGAUAUGGUUAUGGAGAGGAAAAAGUGGAACAUACUCACAAGUGAUUGUAUUAUAUUCAUACAUUUGAAAGAAAUUUGAAAGGGCAUUGAAGACAGAGUACCAUUUUAAGAUCUCGGAUUUCAGUAGGAUGAAAUACAGAAGUAUAUGCAUUUCCAACAAGCAAACUAUAAUGAACAAUAAUUUUAAAGUAGAAAAAUAAUGGGUUUAUGAUAAAAUACAAAGUAGAAAAAUUGUCCACUGUAAGAUAAUUACAGCUAACAAUUAUUAAAUACUUUGUCAUUCUUUCUUAUAUGAAUCACUGCAUUUAAUUUUCACAACAACCCUAAUGGGUAUUUUACCAUAUCCAUUUUAUGGAUAAAGAAAGGGUAGCUAAGUAAAAUACAAUAAUCUGUCUAAAGCCAUACAGCUGGUAUGCAGGGCAGGAGGAACUGGAUCAUUGUCUAUAUAACUGGAAAGUCUACAUUAACCCAUGUCCUUACUAAAAAACCCUUGUCACAUGCAUAUCAGAAAGUAAUAGGAAAUAGGGUUAGAAAGAUUAAUUCCUAGUUUUGAAAUUGCCUGACUUGUUUGAGUUAUUUAUAUAUGUGACAUUGUAAGACUUAUGGUAAGGCAUCGCUAUCUCUAUCCUUCUUGACUCCAUUCUGUACCCCCCACUGUUUCUUUUAUUGUGUUUUUCACAGUGUGGUACAUUUAUCAAAUAUAUGAUUCUUCCAAACCCCUCUGUGGGUAUAAACAGUUUCAUUUAUGUCCAUAUCUUCAACAUGACUAGGCUAGGCAUCAUGUAGUAUAGAUUAGGUAGUCACUCAAUAAACAAAUAAAUGGAAUCUAAAGAGGAAUGAAAUCAUCCUUUUGAAAUACCGCGUCAUUACUUUCAUAAAAAUUACUCCCAGGUGGAAAGAGACUGACAUUAUGAUAAAAGAAACCCCCUGCAUUAUUCCAGGAUAUCACAUAUCUAUCUGUUA
rnacentral:lncRNA from 1 species